UACGGAGGAUCCAAGCGUUAUCCGGAAUCAUUGGGUUUAAAGGGUCCGUAGGCGGGAGAAUAAGUCAGUGGUGAAAGUCUGCAGCUCAACUGUAGAACUGCCAUUGAAACUGUUUUCCUUGAGUCAUUAUGAAGUGGUUAGAAUAUGUAGUGUAGCGGUGAAAUGCAUAGAUAUUACUCAGAAUACCGAUUGCGAAGGCAGAUCACUAAUAAAAUACUGACGCUGAUGGACGAAAGCGUGGGUAGCAAACAGG
rnacentral:misc_RNA from 1 species